CCCUUAGAUGUUCUGGGCCGCACACGCGCUACACUGAAGGAGGCAGCGUGUACUCCUGGAUCGAAAGAUUUGGGUAACCCGCGAAUCUCCUUCGUGCUAGGGAUUGAGGUUUGCAAUUAUCCUUCAUGGACGAGGAAUUCCCAGUAAGUGCAAGUCAUAAGCUUGCGCUGACUACGUCCCUGCCCUUUGUACACACCGCCCGUCGCUACUACCGAUUGAAUGAUUUAGUGAGGACUUCGGACUGGGACCGAUGCGGCUUUCGGGCUGCGUCGGUAUUCUGGAAAGAUGUCCAAACUGUAUCAUUUAGAGGAAGUAAAANUCGUAACA
rnacentral:rRNA from 1 species